GUUAGCCAAGAUGGCGGCGGGUCAAGAUUUUACUCCUCCACCGUCACUGUCAGCUAAAUUUGAAGGAUCUUUUGCGUAUCUGACGGUGAGAGACAGGCUGCCGACGAUCCUCACCAAAGUCAUCGAUACCAUUCAUCGAAACAAAAACAACUUCUUCGAGAAACAUGGAGAGGUGGGCGUGGACGCAGAGAAAAGAGCCAUCUCUUUCCUGUCCAAGCUGAGGAACGAGCUGCAGACGGACAAACCUGCGUUGCUCCUGACCGACGAUGCGGACGAUACGGAAGCGUGGAACCGGUACAUGCAGACGCAACAGGAUCUGAUGGAGGACGGGCAGCCGGUCAGUUGGUUCAAGUCGCCAUGGCUGUACGUGGAGUGCUACAUGUACAGGAGGAUCCAGGAGGCCUUGUGGCUAAGUCCUCCAAUCGGUGAUUUUGACGCCUUUAAGGAAGGAAAGACGAACAGCUUCUUCGAGUCCCAGCAAGCGAUCAUCUCGCUGUGUACGUACCUACGAGAGAUCCUCGCCACCGCCGAGAACGCAAAUGAGAAAUGGCUCUUCGAACAUUUCCUCAGGUUUCUGCAGGUAUCCCUGUGGGGAAACAGGUGUGAUCUAUCCAUCUCCGCUGGCGUGGAAAACUCUCAGAAGACCAGCCCGAUGGAUUCUCUGUCUGAUCUGCAGCACUUCAUCCUAGUGGACGAUUCAGAAAAGGUUUGGUCCUUGUUAACGUCAUCUGUCCAAGGUUCUGGAGGAACAAAGAAACCCGGUGUCAGACUGGACGUCAUUCUAGACAACGCAGGCUUUGAGCUCGUCACUGAUCUGGUACUGGCAGAUUUUAUGGUCUCCGUCGGUUUGGCGAAGGAAGUCCGUUUCCACGGCAAGUCCAUCCCGUGGUUCGUCUCCGACGUCAACCAGCGGGAUUUCGAUUGGACCAUUUCUCAAACCGCAGCAUCCAAUCAUAAGCACAUGUCGUCCUGUGGCGUCCAGUGGAAGCGCUAUGUGAAAGACGGGGUGUGGUCGUAUCACGACCAUCGCUUUUGGACUUUACCGCACGAGUUCUGCGACAUGCCAGCGGACGCCGCUGAUCUCUACGCCACUCUACAGGGUUCCGAUCUGAUCCUGUUUAAAGGAGACCUGAAUUACCGCCGACUGACUGGAGACAGGAUGUGGGAGCACACGGUGCCCUUCGUCCGAGCGCUCCGGGGCUUCCUGCCCGCUCCGCUGUGCAGCCUCCGGACUCUGAAGGCUAACGUGCAGGUCGGGUUAAAGCCGGGCCAGGCGGAGAAACUCUCCUGUCAGGACGCCGAGUGGAUGACCAGCGGCAAAUACGCAGUCAUUCAGUUCUGCAGUCCACUUGAAGAACAGCAGCAGCAGCAGCCAAGUGCUUAAACAUGUCAAGAGAACAAGAUUUAAAAUAAAUAAAUAGAUAGAGAGGGAUCGAGAGAGAAACAAAGUUAAGUUUUUUCCUUCAUUACAAGCCUGAAUAAUUUCUCUCGUAAUGCUUUUUUGUUUAUUCUUAACCUCAGAGUCUUAUCAGGUGACGCUUUUCCAGGUAGGUAAAAAUGUCCCGCAGUAGUGACUCAAUGGAACUGGACUUGCGUUUUUGUUAUAUUCAUAAAGGAAUGUCAAAGGUUAAAAAAAAAAAA